UACGGAGGAUCCGAGCGUUAUCCGGAUUUAUUGGGUUUAAAGGGUGCGUAGGCGGCCUAUUAAGUCAGGGGUGAAAGACGGUAGCUUAACUAUCGCAGUGCCUUUGAUACUGAUGGGCUUGAAUAUACUAGAGGUAGGCGGAAUGUGACAAGUAGCGGUGAAAUGCAUAGAUAUGUCACAGAACACCAAUUGCGAAGGCAGCUUACUAUGGUAUGAUUGACGCUGAGGCACGAAAGCGUGGGGAUCAAACGG
rnacentral:rRNA from 1 species